UACUUAGGAUUCCAGUGGGAGGCAGAGGGUGAAUCUCAAGGCUGGGAUCCCGUCUCCACUGGCCGCUUCAGCAAUGCCCAGAUUACCUCUGCCCAGCCAAGGAGCCUGCCCUCUCCUCCCAAAGGAACCUUCCCUGUGGAAGGGCUGAUGCCAGGCACGCUGGCAAUCCAGGAGGCUUCCCUCUCCCUCAUUGCUCUCGGAAGGGACCAAUCCUCUUCUCAUGGCUCCUGUGCGCCAGCGACAUCCCAAACCCUGCCCAGGAUGGCACCAUCAGUGCAGCUCAGUCCCCUGCCCCAGCCAUUUCCAUCAAGAAGAGUCUGAAAAGACCACCUAUUUUAGUUUCCUGUGGUUGCUGUGAUCAUUACCACGAACUUGCUGACUUAUAAUACCACAAAUGUAUUGUCUCACUGUUCUGGAGGCCAGAAGUCCAAAGGCAAGGUUUCUGCAGGGGUGUGCACUCUGAAGCUUGAGGGGAGGAUCCUCCCUCCCCAGCGUCUGGUGGCUCCAGGUGUUUCUUGUCUUGUGGCCCCAUCACUCCAAUCUCUGUCUCUGUCUUCACGUGGUCUUCUUGCCUGUGUCUCUGUGUCUUCUCCUCUUCUCCGACAAGGACACUUGCCAUUGGAUUUAGGACCCCCUUGGCUACUUCAGGAUGAUUUCACCUCAAGAUUUUUAAUCAUAUCUGCAAAGACCCUGUUUCCAAGUAAGAUCACAUUCUGUGUUUCUGAGACAUGGACAUCUUCUGAGAGGGUCAUAGUUCAGCCCACUCCACCACCUUUGCUCAAAGGAUGCUUCUGCAUUUAACUUAAAUUCCGCAUUCUGAUUCCACAGGUGUACUUAGGCCUAGCUCUGGAUUUCAGAUUUGGCAGGGCCGCGGUCCUCAAACCCCAGUGCCCGGGUCAGCGGGGAACAUUUACCAUGGAGAUUCUGAUGGAGUAGAUCUGGGCAGAGCUCAAGAUUCUGCAUUUGCUACAAGCUCCUAGGUGAUGCUAACAGAGCUGCUGGCCAGGAACCUCCCUCUGAGCAACACGUCUGGUGACUAUGGGAUAAUCCAGGUCCCACCCUGGUGAUCCUGAUCCAGAGGCCCGUUCUCUCCAGGCAGCUUUCAGACCAUUCUGAACUAGGGCUGGCAGUCCCUGCCCUGUGCUCAGGAGCAAGGCCUGUAGGCCAGGGAUGAGCCAAGCUGGCCUGAGCCCUAGCCUGCUCCUAAGAAGGGUGCUUCCCAAUCCUGAAGUUUGGCUGGGAAUUCCAAUAGAAUCUGUGACCUUUCAGAAAGCAUCUACACUCUCCUAGCCCCUUCCUCUCACAUACCACCACUUAGCCCCUGUCUGUCUCUUUAGCCCUCUGAUAAGUUCCCCUUGGGUCCUCAGACAAGCCACACGGUCCUGCAAGCUGCCUCCUGGCUGGAUGUAACCCAACCUCACCACAUGGUAGGGAUGGCCCAGGUGAAGGCACAUGAGGCCCACCUCUCUCUAGCCAGGCCCCGCAUCAGAAGGGCCGCCAGCACAGGAACAGCGAGACCAGCUGGAGAACUGGUUAUUUUAAGUGGCUCCCAACAAAUCAUGUCAUUUCCUCAGCUGUGAAGACUGAGAGCUCUUAGCGCUGUGGCAAAUGCAAGCCACUCUUACCAAUGGACAGUGUGAAAGGAAGAAAGAGAGACCCUGUUGGGGAGAGGAGGGCUCCCCUGCCGGCCUGCAUGGGGCUGAGGAGCAGGGCAGGGAUGGGGUGAUGCCACCACAGCUGAGUGACUCAGCCAGGGUCUGUCUUCUCACUUAGGGUGGCCAGGACCCGAGAUCCCACCUGCGGAAGAUGUCCCUGAGGGCAGUUGACACCUCAAAAUAAAACUUGAGAUUGCUCCUGCAACCAUGAAAAGGAAACAAUUUGUUACCAUAAAAGUGCCAUUUAAUGUGACCCCAGCAGCCUCUGGCUGUCCGUCAUCCUGAUCUGACGUGAAAUAGAUUUGAUGUUAUCUGUAAACAACUACACAUUCCUUUAGAAGAAAGUCAGCUCCGCAGAGGAUACUUGACGUGUUCGCUUGUAGUUGGCUGUGGCUUUGACUUUCCCCACCACUCUGUUUGCUUUGGUUAAUGAGCAGCUGGAAGUGCCUUGCCUCCCGUUUGGCUGAUGCAAACGCUGACUUUUCCAGGAAGGAUUCCAAACCAGGCAUCUGUGGAUGACUUACCUCAUCCCUUCAUUGCUCCCCACCACCCUGCCUCCCCCAAAGAGGAAGUAGCUAUUUUAGGCAAGAGAAAAUGAGAUGCAGGACUUUCCCCAAAGUAGGCGUGUGCCUGAUUCAGGGUGGUGGAGCCCCAUGCCCUGUGAAAGGACAGACAUAGCGUCAUCCACAGACACUGCCCAUGGGUCCAUUUCAUCCAUUGGUGGCUCAUGGGCAAAAGGGAAGAAAAGGAGGGAAGAAACGUGGCAAUUGGUGAGCAGUGUUCUUUGCUAUUAGGCAGAAUCAGCCCAAUGGUGGCAGUCACAGAGGGGCAGAGACCAACUCCACACAAGGAAUUACUUCUGGAACUAGUGAGCGUCUUGUCACAGAGGGUAUGCAAACGGGCAGGAUGAGGGGACCAUUUCUAUUUACUCUCUGCUAGGAGGAGUAAAGUAGACCCUGACCUUGAGGAGCCUAAAAUUCCUCUGCAGAGGCGGGUGGGGCCUGAUAUGGCAAGUGAUCAUCGAGGGUGUGUCUGAUAGAUGUGAACCACUGCUGGGCUUCCAGUGAGUCUCCCCAGCCCUUUGGGAAGGUGCCUGUCCCCAAGACCGCGUGGCUCUGGGGUGUUGUGGGUCAUGUUGCCCUGCCCUGCCUUGCCUCACACGGCCGCUGGGGACCAACCCAUAUAAAUCCCACAUGCAGAGGAAGCCAGAGCCGGAGCAGGAGGCAGAGGCCUGAGGCUGGGCUGGAGCCUGAGCAUAGGGCCUUCUGUCACUUGUAGAGUCCUGGCUGGUACACUGAGGAGAACUAGCUUGUGUGGCUUUCUUUCCAGGAUUGGAGUUCAAUGAUGAGAGGGCAAGGAGAUGGAGUACUUUGAGCUCCUGCAGAAUAAUAACAUCUGGAUCCUAGGAGGGAGAAGGAGCACAUGCCAGCAAUGACACAGAACCAGAAAGGCACCCAGCGCGAAGCUUUCUGUGGAAGGGGCCCAGGUGUUGAAAUCUACAUGACUGAGGUUGUGCAGGAGGGGAAAGGAAACCGCUUUGGAACAGCAGGGGACCCUGGUGGGUGAUGUGUGGAGUAUGUCCCAGUCACCCCAGGGGAGAGGGGUAUGGAAGGGUGUGCUCAAGAUCCACCUUUUCCCUGAGUCCUCCCUUGAUGCAAGCAGGCUGGGAUCAGACCUUGCUUGAAUUCUAGCUCAUCUCCUAGGGAGAUGCUACUUCAGCCAGAAGACCACCUGGAGGACUUCAUGGGGCUUCAGAACCCAGGGGCCUCCUGCCACAUGUUAUCAGUGACUCUGCAGAAUUGUGAUAGUGUGUGAUACCACACGCCACUUGCAGUAACAAGGAGGGAGACUGGCAGAUCUUUGAAGGCAUCCUUCCUGUUAGAAUUUUGACUACCUCCAUACCUACUACAGGAGAGGGAAGUAAAUGCAGUGUAAACCUGAUUUUCUUUCAUUGGCAAACUCUCUGUUGAGGUUCGGAGCAGCCUGUGAUAUCAGUGUCAGUCCAUUUGCAAAACUGAAACUUUGUAACAAGAACUUAGAGAACUAUUGCUACGUGCUUUGAAAAUGAUCCAAGGAAGCUUUCCAAAGUGACUCUGUCCCUGGGAAGGGAGGAAGGGAUCAUAGUAUGCCUGUGUCUGAUUUCUACUGCUGUGUAACAAAUGACCCCAAAACUUAGUGGCUUCAAACAACAAUGAACAUUUAUUAUUUCAUAGUUUCUGUGGGUCAGGAAUUCAGGAGUGGCUUAGCUGGGUGGUUCUGGCUCAGGAAUUGCAUGGGGUUGCAGUCAGGGUGUCACCUGGGGCUGUGUCAUUAGAGGCUCAACUGUGGCUGGAGGAUUUACCUCUGAGCUGGUGCACCCACAUGCCUGGCAGGUUGGUGCUGGUUGUCGGUGGGAGGCCUCAGUUUCCCAGCACGUGGACUCCUCCACAGACCUGUUUGAGUGUCCUUACAACAUGGCAGCUGACUGUUUCCGAAUGAGUGAUUCAAGGAGAGCAAGGCAGGAACCACGUCUUUUAUGACCUAGCCUUGGACAUCAUUUCUGCAAUCCUACUGGUUGCCAGAUGGGUCCUACUCAGUGAGAGGGGACUCCCCAGAAUGUGACUACUGGGGCUCACUGGGCAGCAUCUCAGAACUGCCAUCAUAUUGCUGCAUGGUUGGCCCAUCUGGAACGCUUAGUCUUCAUUCACUGGGUUUGAUUCAAGAACAAAGAGUUAGAAACUCUUCACUUUUUGAAUGCAAGGAAGUAGGCUGACCCCUCAAAGGUGCCAGACAAGCCAUUUUAAGCACAGCUGGGUGAGAUGCAAGGAGGAAGGCUGCAUUCACUCUUACCUGGAAUGCUUGGCACAUACUCAUGCUUUCUAUCCCCAGAGGCUCACUGAUAGAGUUUGUCAGCCUUGUGUCCCUCCUGCCCCAUGUGGGGCCUGUGGAGCUGCUGGUCAACCUAUCCCCUGGCUUUGGGGUCAUGUCUGGCCAGCUGUGGUGCCCCAUUUCCCUACCUAGAGUUGUUGGUCCAAGAGGAGGUUCUCUCUGACUCUGAAAUCCUGAGCUGAGGGUUUACUGUGUAUGCCUGAAGCUAUCAGACAAUGAAGAAAGAAGAGAAAGAGAGAUUUGGCCACCUGGGCCCAGCUAUGACUGAAGCUGUCAAGACACCCAUCUUUCUUCUCUGAAAUUAUGUAAGAAAGUAAACACCGUUGUUUCUGCUUGUUUAUUUUUGCUUAAGUUAACUUCAGCUGGAAUUUCAUCAUCAUAAUUAAAAACAUCCUGACGACUUA